UCGUCUCCCGAGGCGGGGCCGGCGGGAGGGCGGCGGGGUGGGCCUGCUGCCCCCAGCCCUCGUCUUCCCGGGCUUCGCCGGAUGCGGGCCGGGCUUUGUCUGCCGGGGAGGAACCCCCGGUACAGCCGUCCCUCCUCUGCUGCCGCUUCUGCCUGGUUUCCUAGCCGCGGUGAGACUGGGUGAUUGGUGCCAGCUGAUACCGGUUCCCUUCUGUUGGGAAGUUGAACAAGUUUUUUUUAAAGAUGUUUAUUAGCUGGAAAUGUUUUAUGAAGAAGAACUGUCCUCCACCUGCUUAUCUGAUUACCAUCAACUAUUUGAAAUACAGUUUGUACAGGAAAGGCAAGAAAAAUGCUGAAUUUUUUCCCUCUAAUUUCAGACUACAGUGGCCCAGCAACUGUUAAAGUUGCCAGAACAAAGGGGAUGGAGGCUUUCUUGGAAGGAAUUCAAAAUUGGGGAUGUGAUGAGGAAUUUUUGACAUCCUGUGAGGCAGAACCUCAGGAGCUCAUGAAACAGAUUGACAUAAUGGUGGCUCAUAAAAAGUCUGAAUGGGAAGGGCACACGCAUGCUCUGCAAGCUGGCCUGGAUAUCCGUGAACGGGAACUUAAAACUCUCAGGAGUCAGUUGGACACGAGUCACAAAGAGGUGAAGCGGCUGACUGAUUCCUCUUCCUGAUAUUUAGACCUUGCCUUUUUCUAUUAAAAGUGUUUCUUUAAUAUUUAUUGAAGAAAGUAUUUGUGUGUCAAGUUCAUUUCUACAGUUGACCCUUAAAUAACACGGGAGUGAGGGGUACCAACCCCCUUUGCAGUUGAAAAUCUGUAUAUGACGUCCGACUCCCCCACAACUUAACUAUUAUUAGCUCACUGUUGACCGGAAGCCUUACUGGUAACAUAAGUGGUCGAUUAACACAGUUUGUGUGUUACAUGAACUCUCUACUGUAUUCUUACAAUAAAGUGACAAUAAGGACAAUGUUAUUAAGAAUAUUAUUAGGAAAAUGCACUUAAGAGUGCUGUAUUAUUUAUUGAAAAAAAAUUGCAUUUAAUUGGACCUGCACAGUUCAAACCUGUGUCUUUUAACUCUGGUGGUUUCUUUUUGAAGAAAAAUCUAUUGUGAAAAUACGUAAGGUUAUUAAUACUUAUCUCAGGGCUGCACUGCCUUGCUCACAUAUUAUACAUGCAUAACUUUUUAAAGAAAAUGUCAUGGUUGUCACAUGAUCUUUGUAUGGCCUUCAUCCUGUUACUUACGUGUCCAUAUUAACUUUACCAAGAUUAGCGAAUGGUGUUUUUGGCCUCAUUGUAUGGUGUGUAAAAAAGUUAAGCCCCAAAUUCAAUAAUUUGCCUCUUCUGGUUAAAUACAAAACAAAACUCAGGGAAUUCUUUCAAAAAAAUCUAUAUUUGCCUCUGUUGAAAAUAAGGGGAAAAGAGGAAAAUAAAAAUUACUUGUAAUCCCA